AUAUCAAUAAGCGGGGGAAAAGAAACUAACAAGGAUUCCCCUAGUAACGGCGAGUGAACCGGGAAGAGCUCAAAUUUGAAAUCUGGCCUUUGGGUCCGAGUUGUAAUCUAUAGAGGCGUUUUCCGCGCCGGACCGUGUCCAAGUCCCUUGGAAUAGGGUAUCAAAGAGGGUGACAAUCCCGUACUUGACACGACGACCGGUGCUAUGUGAUACGUCUUCGACGAGUCGAGUUGUUUGGGAAUGCAGCUCAAAAUGGGAGUGAAUAUCUCUAAAG
rnacentral:rRNA from 1 species